GAAGCGACCCCAGCUCAGGCGGGGCCACCCGCUGAGUUUAAGCAUAUCAAUAAGCGGAGGAAAAG
rnacentral:rRNA from 1 species